rnacentral:rRNA from 1 species
AGAACGAACGCUGGCGGCGUGUUUAAGACAUGCAAGUCGCACGGAACCAAAUUGGUAGUAAUACUCGUUUGGUUCAGUGGCGCACGGGUGAGUAACACGUGAAUUACAUGCCCUUCAGCGGGGAAUAGCCCAGGGAAACUUGGAUUAAUACCCCAUGGUAUCGCAAGAUUAAAGGUGGCCAGCAAUGGCUGUCGCUGAAGGAUUGGUUCGCGCCCUAUCAGCUUGUUGGUGAGGUAACGGCUCACCAAGGCUACGACGGGUACCUGGUCUGAGAGGACGAUCAGGCACACUGGAACUGAGACACGGUCCAGACACCUACGGGUGCAGCAGUCGAGAAUAAUUCACAAUGGACGAAAGUCUAGAUGGUGCAACGCCGCGUGGAGGAUGGACGGUCGUUCGGAUUCGUAAACUCCGUGUACUAGUACCGGAGUAACGCCGUGGCUUAGUGAAGUAGCAGACGAGGUUGAGUAGUACCGGAAAGAGGUAAGGACGUCGUAACUUCGGUACGCCG